rnacentral:rRNA from 2 species
CUAAGCGUACACGGUGGAUGCCCUGGCAGUCAGAGGCGAUGAAGGGCGUGCUAAUCUGCGAUAAGCGCCGGUAAGGUGAUAUGAACCGUUAUAACCGGCGAUACCCGAAUGGGGAAACCCAGUGUGACUCGUCACACUAUCAUUAACUGAAUCCAUAGGUUAAUGAGGCGAACCGGGGGAACUGAAACAUCUAAGUACCCCGAGGAAAAGAAAUCAACCGAGAUUCCCCCAGUAGCGGCGAGCGAACGGGGAGGAGCCCAGAGCCUGAAUCAGCAUGUGUGUUAGUGGAAGCGUCUGGAAAGGCGCGCGAUACAGGGUGACAGCCCCGUACACAAAAGCGCAUGUGCUGUGAGCUCGAUGAGUAGGGCGGGACACGUGGUAUCCUGUCUGAAUAUGGGGGGACCAUCCUCCAAGGCUAAAUACUCCUGACUGACCGAUAGUGAACCAGUACCGUGAGGGAAAGGCGAAAAGAACCCCGGCGAGGGGAGUGAAAAAGAACCUGAAACCGUGUACGUACAAGCAGUGGGAGCACAGGUUUACCUGUGUGACUGCGUACCUUUUGUAUAAUGGGUCAGCGACUUAUAUUCUGUAGCAAGGUUAACCGAAUAGGGGAGCCGGAGGGAAACCGAGUCUUAAUUGGGCGUUAAGUUGCAGGGUAUAGACCCGAAACCCGGUGAUCUAGCCAUGGGCAGGUUGAAGGUUGGGUAACACUAACUGGAGGACCGAACCGACUAAUGUUGAAAAAUUAGCGGAUGACCUGUGGCU